GAUGAACGCUAGCGACAGGCCUAACACAUGCAAGUCGAGGGGCAGCACAAGGAGCAAUCUGAGGUGGCGACCGGCGCACGGGUGAGUAACACGUAUGCAACCUGCCUGUAAGCGGGGAAUAACCCGUUGAAAGACGGACUAAUACCGCAUAAUACUAAAUUACUGCAUGGUAAUUUAUUUAAACAUUUAUGGCUUACAGAUGGGCAUGCGCAUGAUUAGCUAGUUGGAGAGGUAACGGCUCCCCAAGGCAACGAUCAUUAGGGGUUCUGAGAGGAAGGUCCCCCACACUGGUACUGAGACACGGACCAGACUCCUACGGGAGGCAGCAGUGAGGAAUAUUGGUCAAUGGGCGCAAGCCUGAACCAGCCAUGUCGCGUGCAGGAAGACUGCCCUAUGGGUUGUAAACUGCUUUUAUAGUAGAAGAAACACAUCUACGAGUAGAUGUCUGCCAGUAUACUAUGAAUAAGCAUCGGCUAA
rnacentral:rRNA from 1 species